AAUGUCUAUUUACUGUUUGGUCUGGUGACAAUCACAGUGUUAUAACUGCACUUGCAAUUGCAGGCACAACAUGGUCAGGAUAAAUAUUGAUGAAUUGGAAUGAACUGAAGAGGAAGGCAUCUUGAGUGUCAUCUAGCAAGGAUACAUAGGUAUUUGUUUGCAGUACUUCAGUCAUCAAAACUUUCAGUCUCCUGGAAAGGGUCAUGGACUUCUAGGAGAGAGAAUGCUGAACCAAGAGUGAUGGAACCAGCUUAUUUCCAAUUUUGUAAGGAAACUGGUACAGCUACACUUUCUUCUGUAUAAUUAGGCCAAGAGAGGUUAUUUAAGUAGUUCAUACGUUUCUCUUCUCAAAUAUGGAAAUGAUCAUUUUGAAUUUUUGCUCUCCGUUCAGUUGGCUGUAGGAAUAGCUUUUAUAAUUUAUAAAAUUCAUGUCACUUCAGAAUUUCCUUUAUUCCUAGGAGAAUAAGUACCUCCAGAUUUUCCUUAGAACUUGUACUACUGAAACUAAUUCUUCAACACUCCUAAACCCCAACAUGCAAAUAUAGUCUCAUACUUUUAAAUACUUACAUAUAUUUUCCACUGCAUCCAGUAAUUCAGAUAGCCCUCUCUAUGUUGUUUGUUUUCUUUCAAGAAAAUCUACUUUGGGUUACAGUGUUUGUGGAAUAUCAUUCCUUAUAUUUCUAAACAGGAAAAUAAUAAUUACAUUAUAACUUUACAGUGGAAUGAAUAA
rnacentral:lncRNA from 1 species